AGGAAGGAAGGAAGGAAGGAAGGAAGGAAGGAAGGAAGGGGGAAAAGAGGAAAUCAAACAAACAUACAAAGAUGUCUGUCUUCCAGAAAUUAAAUAGAUAAGAAUUGCUUAGAUAUGAAAAGUCAUGGCUGUGAUAAAGGCCUCGGGGUACUAUGGUGAAAAUGAAUAGAAAAUGAUUAUUGUGUUUCUUACAAUGCCAGAAAAUUAGAGGGCAUUUAGUGAGGUUACAGGCAGCAGAUUAACAGCAAAUGCAAGAGAAAGUACUUUUUUUUUCUCACAGAGUGUGUAAUCAAAUUAUAGCUCUCAGUGCCAACUGAAUAUUCCAGUUCUUUAAAUAGAAGCAAUUAGAAAAUUUGUUGAAGGGUAGAUUCAUCAUCUAAUUUUAAAUAUGUUGAAUGGGGUGCUAUGAUCAUCUCAGACAGACACUAAUUCUUUGCUGUAGGAGCCUCAGAGAGUGUCCCAGCCAGAGAUCUCAUCAUGUUUAUCAUCUUCUCCGCGUGGAGAAUUCACCACUGGAUGCUGUUGCAGACAAGACUUUUCCCUGUUCCUGCAGAGAAAAAAAAACAACACAUGGAUUAAGAAGAUAAAGACCCAUCAAUAGGCCAAGACUGAUGUUAUAAGGAAAGCUUGUGGGGGGUUCAUCAUCUGCAGCAGGUGGCACUUUUUACUGUGCUGAAUCUUCUAGAGUUCCCAGAGCACAAGCUUCCUGGGAUUACAGUGUAAGAUAUGUUUAAUAACAGAUCUAAUAAAAAUGAUAAUUUGAGGGUUUUUUUCUUUUCUUUUUUUUUUUUCCUCUCUCUCUCUUCAUGAUUUCAGUACACAGGCAAAGAAAAUUAAAAAAUAAUGCUGAGUAAAGAACCCAUGCCUGUAAGUCUGCACGAGCAAAAGCUUUUCCCUAUUCUAUAUAUGCAAGCAUAUCACAUAAUGUAAUUUAGUUUUACUAGGCUCCUAAAACACAGGCAUGUGUAAGAUGCACGGGCUCAGUGGAAUGGAAACUGAAAUUGAGGACUGGUUUUAUUCAAUAAUUUCAUUAAAGGCCUUAGUGCAGAGGAGGAGCAAUUAUGUCUGUUGAUGGCACAAAAAUGAGAGUUCUUAUCAACACAGUAAUAGCCAAGUGAAAUAAGGGAGGAAGGGAACAGACUUCAGACAUAAAAUAGAAGUAGGAUGAAAGGAUAAGUAAUGCAUGGCAGGAUUAAUUGCAGGUAUUCCUGUAAUAGCUGGAAGCUCAUAAUUUAGAAAUGACAGAAGAAAAAGAGAUAGAAGGAUACUGACUGAGAAAUGUAUGAUUACAGCUACUAUUGUCACAUGAGAAAAUCAAAUGCAAUCACAAGAGAGGUGUUUUUGAUAGAUACAGGGCAAUAUCAUGAGGUAUUUGUGGGACUUUACCUGGAAUACUGUGCAUAAUUCUGACUGUUUGCAUUCAGAAGUGUAUUCCUGUGACUGACAUUCAGGUAAAGCCUAGGGGAAACAUCUUCCAUUCACUGGCCUGUUUCCUUUUCUGUAGACUGUGCAUUUUUUCAAAGAAUAUAUGUGAAACACUUUAAAAGUGUCUGAUGAAAUGGUAUGUCUCUGAGCACAGAAUGUAACACCAUCAAAAUGUUUGAAGUGUUCACAUUGCUUUGUUAGGGUUAAGAGGGCUUAAGUAUACGGCCAAGAGAUAGAAAAGACUCAGUUGCCAUCUAGUGUAUCUCCUGAAAGAUCGGGGAUGUGAUUCUCUGUGCCUUUCCUUGUACGGUGCUAGAACUGACAAAAAAAGGACCUUCAGCCACUUGUAUUAUGACUUUUCUUAAAACAUGAGAAAGAAGGUUAGGUAUCAAUGCGUAUGCAAGGGAUCUUGGAUUAACUCCCUAAACAUAGACCUCUUAUGCUUUUGAGAUGCCCUAGUUCAAUUUGCUUGGCCUCUAGACUCUAGGUAACAAUUUUUUUCCUGUAGACCAUGGGCCACAAUUACCCAUGUUGCAUCAACCUCUUGUAUACCAGAACAUGAUGCUGUAUUAAGGCAGCUAAAUUAAUUGCCAGUGAUACAACAUGACUUGUGUCAAAGUGUGUUCAUAAUUGAUAAAAUAAAACUUUAUGCAUGGUCCAGAAAAUAUUGAAAUAAAUUUAAUAAUAAACUUGUCAUAGAUCCAACUUGGUACUGCAGUAAUUUGAGUAGUAAUACUAGCAAAUGAGAUAAAGUGUCAUCUAUUUAAUUUGAACCUGAAAAAGUGUCUUGAAGUCCA